GCUGCCGUGAGUUCAUGGCAAGCAACGGAGAGGAAGGUUCGGUGGCAGCGCUAACGUGCGCCGCCUGUGGCUGCCACCGCAGUUUCCAUCGUAGAGAAAUCGAAACCGAGGUUGUUUGCGACUGUAAUUCACCUCCUUCGACUGGAAACUAGACCAGUAAAAACUAGACCUAGGUAAGAGUUAAUUGGUUGUGUCUUUGUGUGCUAUAUAUUAUAUAUAUAAUACACGGCUGAAAUUCUGAAUAUAUAUAUUAUAUUGUUUUAAUACCUUCGUAGUGUCAAGGGUUUGUGUCUCGUUGAGAAGUAAAGCAGAAAAUUUCAGAGAUGUAUAGAUUGGAGGUUGUGGAAGAUCUAUAAUAACUGGAUGCUUUAAGCAUGUCUCAGAAAAGAUCUAUGAAAUAUGAAGCUUAUAAGUUU
rnacentral:lncRNA from 1 species